GACGAACGCUGGCGGCGUGCUUAACACAUGCAAGUCGAACGGAAAGGCCCUGCUUUUGUGGGGUGCUCGAGUGGCGAACGGGUGAGUAACACGUGAGUAACCUGCCCUUGACUUUGGGAUAACUUCAGGAAACUGGGGCUAAUACCGGAUAGGAGCUCCUGCUGCAUGGUGGGGGUUGGAAAGUUUCGGCGGUUGGGGAUGGACUCGCGGCUUAUCAGCUUGUUGGUGGGGGAGUGGCUUACCAAGGCUUUGACGGAUCGCCGGCAUGGGAGGGUGACCGGCCACAUUAGGACUGGGAUACGGCCCAGUCUCCAACGGGAGACAGCAGUGGGGAAUAUUACACAAUAGGCGGAAGCCUGAUACAACAACGCCGCGUGCGGGAUGACGGCCUUCGGGUUGUAAACCGCUUUCGCCUGUGACGAAGCGUGAGUGACGGUAAUGGAUAAAGAAGCACCGGCUAACUACGUG
rnacentral:rRNA from 1 species